rfam:Dorea sp. 5-2 genomic scaffold acPFE-supercont1.3, whole genome shotgun sequence.
GGACCUUUAGCUCAGUUGGUUAGAGCAAUCGGCUCAUAACCGAUCGGUCCUGGGUUCGAGUCCCCGAAGGUCCA